rnacentral:rRNA from 1 species
AUUGAACGCUGGCGGCAGGCCUAACACAUGCAAGUCGAACGGUAGCACAGAGAGCUUGCUCUCGGGUGACGAGUGGCGGACGGGUGAGUAAUGUCUGGGAAACUGCCCGAUGGAGGGGGAUAACUACUGGAAACGGUAGCUAAUACCGCAUAACGUCGCAAGACCAAAGAGGGGGGACCUUCGGGCCUCUUGCCAUCGGAUGUGCCCAGAUGGGAUUAGCUUGUAGGUGAGG